UACAGAGGCCUCGAGCGUUAGGCGGAAUCACUGGGCGUAAAGCGUGCGUAGGCGGUUCGUUAAGUCUGUUGUGAAAGCCCCGGGCUCAACCUGGGAAUGGCAAUGGAUACUGGCGAGCUAGAGUGUGUCAGAGGAUGGUGGAAUUCCUGGUGUAGCGGUGAAAUGCGUAGAUAUCAGGAGGAACACCUGUGGUGUAGACGGCUUUCUGGACCAUAGCU
rnacentral:rRNA from 1 species